rnacentral:snRNA from 1 species
AUACUCUAGUUUCUCUUCAGAUCAUAUAAAUCUUUCACCUUUUACUAAAGAUUUCUAAGGAGAGGAACAAUCGAGUCUCUAAAUGUACCACACUAAUGAAGGAUGUUAGUGU